GACGAACGCUGGCGGCGUGCUUAACACAUGCAAGUCGAACGGAAAGGCCCUGCUUUUGUGGGGUGCUCGAGUGGCGAACGGGUGAGUAACACGUGAGUAACCUGCCCUUGACUUUGGGAUAACUUCAGGAAACUGGGGCUAAUACCGGAUAGGAGCUCCUGCUGCAUGGAGGGGGUUGGAAAGUUUCGGCGGUUGGGGAUGGACUCGCGGCUUAUCAGCUUGUUGGUGGGGUAGUGGCUUACCAAGGCUUUGACGGGUAGCCGGCCUGAGAGGGUGACCGGCCACAUGGGGACUGAGAUACGGCCCAGACUCCUACGGUAGGCAGCAGUGGGGAAUAUUGCACAAUGGUCGGAAGCCUGAUGCAGCAACGCCGCGUGCGGGAUGACGGCCUUCGGGUUGUAAACCGCUUUCGCCUGUGACGAAGCGUGAGUGACGGUAAUGAGUAAAGAAGCACCGGCUAACUACGUG
rnacentral:rRNA from 1 species